UGUAGUCAUAUGCUUGUCUCAAAGAUUAAGCCAUGCAUGUCUAAGUAUAAACUGCUUAUACUGUGAAACUGCGAAUGGCUCAUUAAAUCAGUUAUAGUUUAUUUGGUGGUACCUUACUACUCGGAUAACCGUAGUAAUUCUAGAGCUAAUACGUGCGUAAAUCCCGACUCCUGGAAGGGACGUAUAUAUUAGAUAAAAGGCCGACCGGACUUUGUCCGACCCGCGGUGAAUCAUGAUAUCUUCACGAAGCGCAUGGCCUUGCGCCGGCGCUGUUCCAUUCAAAUUUCUGCCCUAUCAACUUUCGAUGGUAGGAUAGGGGCCUACCAUGGUGGUAACGGGUGACGGAGGAUUAGGGUUCGAUUCCGGAGAGGGAGCCUGAGAAACGGCUACCACAUCCAAGGAAGGCAGCAGGCGCGCAAUUACCCAAUCCUGAUACGGGGAGGUAGUGACAAUAAAUAACAAUACCGGGCAUUUCAUGUCUGGUAAUUGGAAUGAGUACAAUCUAAAUCCC
rnacentral:rRNA from 1 species